GGAAACAGAUGCUAAUACCGCAUAACAACUUGGACCGCAUGGUCCGAGUUUGAAAGAUGGCUUCGGCUAUCACUUUUGGAUGGUCCCGCGGCGUAUUAGCUAGAUGGUGAGGUAACGGCUCACCAUGGCAAUGAUACGUAGCCGACCUGAGAGGGUAAUCGGCCACAUUGGGACUGAGACACGGCCCAAACUCCUACGGGAGGCAGCAGUAGGGAAUCUUCCACAAUGGACGAAAGUCUGAUGGAGCAACGCCGCGUGAGUGAAGAAGGGUUUCGGCUCGUAAAACUCUGUUGUUAAAGAAGAACAUAUCUGAGAGUAACUGUUCAGGUAUUGACGGUAUUUAACCAGAAAGCCACGGCUAACUACGUGCCAGCAGCCGCGGUAAUACGUAGGUGGCAAGCGUUGUCCGGAUUUAUUGGGCGUAAAGCGAGCGCAGGCGGUUUUUU
rnacentral:rRNA from 2 species